GGGGAAUUUUGGACAAUGGGCGCAAGCCUGAUCCAGCAAUGCCGCGUGCAGGAAGAAGGCCUUCGGGUUGUAAACUGCUUUUGUCAGGGAAGAAAUCUUCUGGGUUAAUACCUCGGGAGGAUGACGGUACCUGAAGAAUAAGCACCGGCUAACUACGUGCCAGCAGCCGCGGUAAUACGUAGGGUGCGAGCGUUAAUCGGAAUUACUGGGCGUAAAGCGUGCGCAGGCGGCUUUGCAAGACAGAGGUGAAAUCCCCGGGCUCAACCUGGGAACUGCCUUUGUGACUGCAAGGCUAGAGUACGGCAGAGGGGGAUGGAAUUCCGCGUGUAGCAGUGAAAUGCGUAGAUAUGCGGAGGAACACCAAUGGCGAAGGCAAUCCCCUGGGCCUGUACUGACGCUCAUGCACGAAAGCGUGGGGAGCAAAC
rnacentral:rRNA from 1 species